UAGGGAAUCUUCGGCAAUGGACGGAAGUCUGACCGAGCAACGCCGCGUGAGUGAAGAAGGUUUUCGGAUCGUAAAGCUCUGUUGUAAGAGAAGAACGGGUGUGAGAGUGGAAAGUUCACACUGUGACGGUAUCUUACCAGAAAGGGACGGCUAACUACGUGCCAGCAGCCGCGGUAAUACGUAGGUCCCGAGCGUUGUCCGGAUUUAUUGGGCGUAAAGCGAGCGCAGGCGGUUAGAUAAGUCUGAAGUUAAAGGCUGUGGCUUAACCAUAGUACGCUUUGGAAACUGUUUAACUUGAGUGCAAGAGGGGAGAGUGGAAUUCCAUGUGUAGCGGUGAAAUGCGUAGAUAUAUGGAGGAACACCGGUGGCGAAAGCGGCUCUCUGGCUUGUAACUGACGCUGAGGCUCGAAAGCGUGGGGAGCAAACAGGAUUAGAUACCCUGGUAGUCCACGCCGUAAACGAUGAGUGCUAGGUGUUAGACCCUUUCCGGGGUUUAGUGCUGCAGCUAACGCAUUAAGCACUCCGCCUGGGGAGUACGACCGCAAGGUUG
rnacentral:rRNA from 1 species